UACCAGCACCCCGAGUGGUCGGGACGAUUAUUGGGCCUAAAGCAUCCGUAGCCGGUUUCACAAGUCCUCCGUUAAAUCCAGCUGCUUAACAGAUGGGCUGCGGAGGAUACUAUAAGACUAGGAGGCAGGAGAGGCAAGCGGUACUCAGUGGGUAGGGGUAAAAUCCGUUGAUCCAUUGAAGACCACCAGUGGCGAAGGCGGCUUGCCAGAAUGCGCUCGACGGUGAGGGAUGAAAGCUGGGGGAGCAAACCGG
rnacentral:rRNA from 1 species